rnacentral:rRNA from 1 species
GACGAACCGUGCGAACGUUAUUCGGAAUCACUGGGCUUAAAGGGCGCGUAGGCGGGCUCCCAAGUCUGCGGUGAAAUCCUCCAGCUUAACUGGAGAAGUGCCGUGGAUACUGGGAGUCUCGAGGAGGGUAGGGGCAUCUGGAACGUUGGGUGGAGCGGUGAAAUGCGUUGAUAUCCAACGGAACUCCGGUGGCGAAGGCGAGGUGCUGGACCCUUUCUGACGCUGAGGCGCGAAAGCCAGGGGAGCGAACGGG